AAGCCGUAGGUGGCGGAGUUGGCGAUGUUAUUACCGAUAACAUCAAGGUUGGUGGCCGCAGCGUUCAGGCCGCUAACCGCUUG
rnacentral:tRNA from 1 species